rnacentral:rRNA from 1 species
AUUGAACGCUGGCGGCAGGCCUAACACAUGCAAGUCGAGCGGAGCGGCGGACGGGUGAGUAAUGCCUAGGAAUCUGCCUGGUAGUGGGGGUGAACGUCCGGAAAUGGGCGCUAAUACCGCAUACCAUCAGAUGAGCCUAGGUCGGAUUAGAUAGCUGGUGGGGUAAAGGCCUAUCAAGGCCACGAUCCGUAACUGGUCCGAGAGGUGGAUCAGUCACACUGGAACUGAAACACGGUCCAGACUCCUACGGUAGGCAGCAGUGGGGCAUGUUGGACAAUGGGCGAAAGCCUGAUCCAGCCUUGCCGCGUGUGUGAAGAGGGGCUUCGGAUUGUAAAGCACUUUUAGUUGGGAGGCGUUACCAGCAGAAGAAUCACCGGCUAACUUCGUGCCAGCAGCCGCGGUAAUAC